CCAACUCUCAUCCUCCGAUCAUCCUUCGAUUCGAGCCGAUAGGAUCCUCCCAACUCUCAUCGGAGGUCGUGGUUCGAUGAUCAACAGGAGAUGAUCUCCAAGCCAUCAUCAUCAUCAUCAUGGAUGUGUAUGGAUGCUGACCAGUAAAUCCUAAACUCUAAACCCUAAAUCUUAAACCGAAACCCUAAACCUUAAACCCAAACCCUAAAUCUUAAACCUUAAACCCUA
rnacentral:lncRNA from 1 species